rnacentral:rRNA from 1 species
UACAGAGGGUGCGAGCGUUGUCCGGAAUCACUGGGCGUAAAGGGCGCGUAGGCGGCUUGAUAAGCGUGCGGUGAAAGCCCGGGGCUCAACCCCGGGUCGGCCGUGCGAACUGUCGAGCUGGAGCACUGUAGAGGCAGGUGGAAUUCCGGGUGUAGCGGUGGAAUGCGUAGAGAUCCGGAAGAACACCGGUGGCGAAGGCGGCCUGCUGGGCCGGUUCUGACGCUGAGGCGCGAAAGCGUGGGGAGCAAACAGG